UCUGAAUGCCGUGAAGAUUUGUGGGUUGUGUUGUCUGAAACAGGCCCUGCUUUGGAGUGUGGGGAAGAUUUGAGCAGCAAAAGCACUUCGAGAUGCCAUGGACUACAAGGUGAUGAAUACCACUAUGAGCUCACUACAAGAUCUCAAAGAUUUCAAGCCACUGGCUGUUACAAAGCAUAAAGCCACCCUUCUGGAGCAGCGGCGGGAGGCAGGCUGGGAGGAGGCCCCAAGUUUUGGCCAGACGAUAGACCACCUCCUUAGGUGUCCGGGGAGCUGCUGAAACAUAAUGAGGAAGAUGCUGCUGAUCCAAAGGAUAAAAACACAGAAACUAGAACCAAGAAGCACCUAAAGUGGACUCAUGCCCAGCAUCCCUGCAGACUGACUUUCUCUGAGCUAUAGUUCUGCAUUGGACUGUUUUUCCUUUGCUAUCACCUGCCCAACACACAAUCCUGGAUGCUUUUGAUUGGUUGGAUUUCUUUUUUUUUUUUCCUGCCUUUUCUUUUUCUUUCCUUGACCCUGGGAAUUAUAAACGAGAAAUUGCUUUAAAAAGUAUUGUUCUGUGCUAAAAUUAGCCUUGUUUAUGAACAAGUUUUAUCCCUAGGGAUUUCCUGAAUUGCAAUCCCAGAUUACCUUGUAAAUGGGGCUGUGUUGUUUGAUUUGUAUAGUACUGAUCUGUAGGUUAAAAUACGUUUCCUUUCUUUUGUUUCAUUCUUUUUUUAAAAGUCUGGAUCCAGGUAAUGGCCUGAGUCACAUUUGCUUAGCUACUGAAGCGAUCUCAAUAUGUUAUCGCUUAGAGUUGAAACAUAAUCAAACAUACGUUAUACCUGGGGCUCUUGCACACUAUUUGAUAUAUAUAUGUUACUCUACAAAGAAACACAAACCUUGUAUGUUGAAAUGUAAUUCCUGUUUGAUCCUGCAGCUAGAAUGCUAAAGAAAUUGCAAAUAUCAAAAGUGACUUCAAAUACCCUGAAUAUAAGCUAGUCAACAGUAAGUGGAUGGUUCCAGAAUACCAUAUUCUAAGACAAAGCAGGAAUUAGAGAUCAACUGACCUCAUCCAUAAUGUUGCUCAGGUCUGUCUGUGGAUCUGUCCAUUUUGGAGUAAAAAACAAGGCAUGCUUCUGUGAUUGUGUUUAUGAAAACUGUAGUAUUUCAGAUUUAUGUUUUGCAAUUGUGCCUGCCUUGCAAUAAAACACCUUCAGUUGACUCAGCA
rnacentral:lncRNA from 1 species